AUUGAACGCUGGCGGCAGGCCUAACACAUGCAAGUCGAGCGGUAGAGAGAAGCUUGCUUCUCUUGAGAGCGGCGGACGGGUGAGUAAUGCCUAGGAAUCUGCCUGAUAGUGGGGGAUAACGUCCGGAAACGGACGCUAAUACCGCAUACGGCCUACGGGAGAAAGUGGGGGCUCUUCGGACCUCACGCUAUCAGAUGAGCCUAGGUCGGAUUAGCUAGGUGGUGGGGUAAAGGCUAACCAAGGCGACGAUCCGUAACUGGUCUGAGAGGAUGAUCAGUCACACUUGAACUGAGACACGGUCCAGACUCCUACGGGAGGCAGCAGUGGGGAAUAUUGGACAAUGGGCGAAAGCCUGAUCCAGCCAUGCCGCGUGUGUGAAGAAGGUCUUCGGAUUGUAAAGCACUUUAAGUUGGGAGGAAGGGUCGUUACCUAAUACGUGGCGAUUUUGACGUUACCGACAGAAUAAGCACCGGCUAACUCUGUGCCAGCAGCCGCCGUAAGAC
rnacentral:rRNA from 1 species